rnacentral:rRNA from 1 species
UACGGAGGAUGCAAGCGUUAUCCGGAAUCAUUGGGUUUAAAGGGUCCGUAGGCGGCCUGAUAAGUCAGUGGUGAAAUCUCCUAGCUCAACUAGGAAACUGCCAUUGAUACUGUCGGGCUUGAAUUGUGGUGAAGUAACUAGAAUAUGUAGUGUAGCGGUGAAAUGCUUAGAUAUUACAUGGAAUACCAAUUGCGAAGGCAGGUUACUAACCAUUGAUUGACGCUGAUGGACGAAAGCGUGGGGAGCGAACAGGAUUAGAUACCCUGGUAGUCCACGCUGUAAACGAUGGAUACUAGCUGUUGGGAGUAAUCUCAGUGGCUAAGCGAAAGUGAUAAGUAUCCCACCUGGGGAGUACGCACGCAAGUGUGAA